rnacentral:rRNA from 1 species
AUUGAACGCUGGCGGCAUGCCUUACACAUGCAAGUCGAACGGCAGCACGGGUGCUUGCACCUGGUGGCGAGUGGCGAACGGGUGAGUAAUACAUCGGAACAUGUCCUGUAGUGGGGGAUAGCCCGGCGAAAGCCGGAUUAAUACCGCAUACGAUCCACGGAUGAAAGCGGGGGACCUUCGGGCCUCGCGCUAUAGGGUUGGCCGAUGGCUGAUUAGCUAGUUGGUGGGGUAAAGGCCUACCAAGGCGACGAUCAGUAGCUGGUCUGAGAGGACGACCAGCCACACUGGGACUGAGACACGGCCCAGACUCCUACGGGAGGCAGCAGUGGGGAAUUUUGGACAAUGGGCGAAAGCCUGAUCCAGCAAUGCCGCGUGUGUGAAGAAGGACUUCGGGUUGUAAAGCACUUUUGUCCGGAAAGAAAUCCUUGACUCUAAUACAGUCGGGGGAUGGCGGUACCGGAAGAAUAAGCACCGGCUAACUACGUG